rnacentral:rRNA from 1 species
GGGAGUCAGACUAUACGAGAUAAGUUGGAUAGUCGAAAGGGAAAGAGCCCAGACCUCCAGCUAAGGUCCCAAAGUGCGUGUUAAGUGGAAAAGGAUGUGGGAUUUCGAAGACAACCAGGAUGUUGGCUCAGAAGCAGCCAUACAUUCAAAGAGUGCGUAAUAGCUCACUGGUCGAGAGGUCCUGCGCCGAAAAUGUCCGGGGCUAAAACACGACACCGAAGCUGAGGAAUCACAUGGUGAUUGGUAGAGGAGCAUUGCAUAAGGGAAGAAGCAGUACCGAAAGGAGCUGUGGACUUUAUGGAAGAGAGAAUGCCGGAAUGAGUAGCGAGAGUAAGGUGAGAAUCCUUACGGCCGAAUAUCUAAGGUUUCCAGGGUAAAGCUGAUCUGCCCUGGGUAAGUCGGGGCCUAAGGCGAGGUCGAAAGACGUAGCCGAUGGACAACAGGUUGAGAUUCCUGUACUACAGUAUAACAGAACUGUGGGGACACGUGUGGAGAGCAUAGGCGCAGAAUGGAAAGCUGCGUGCAAGCGGGGUAGGAGUCGCAUAGGCAAAUCCGUGUGACAAUCCAAAGACGUGAUGCAGACCGAACAGAAGUAGGGAAGUAUGUGAGCCAUGGGUCGAGAAAAGCCGCUAUAGUUUAUAUUGUACCCGUACCGGAAACCGACACAGGUGGAUGAGGAGAGAAUCCUAAGGCCGACGGAAGAAGCAUUGUUAAGGAACUCGGCAAAAUGACCCCGUAACUUCGGGAGAAGGGGUGCCAGUGAGAACUGGCCGCAGAGAAAAGGCUCAAGCAACUGUUUAGCAAAAACACAGGUCUAUGCAAAACCGAAAGGUGAGGUAUAUGGGCUGACGCCUGCCCGGUGCUGGAAGGUUAAGAGGAGAGGUUAGCGCAAGCGAAGCUUUGAAUUUAAGCCCCAGUAAACGGCGGCCGUAACUAUAACGGUCCUAAGGUAGCGAAAUUCCUUGUCGGGUAAGUUCCGACCCGCACGAAAGGCGUAAUGAUUUGAGCGCUGUCUCGACAAUGCAUCCGGUGAAAUUGAAAUACCAGUGAAGAUGCUGGUUACCUGCGCCAGGACGGAAAGACCCCAUGGAGCUUUACUCCAGUUUGGUACUGGGACUCGGUAUUGCAUGUACAGGAUAGGUGGGAGACUUUGAACCUAUAACGCCAGUUGUAGGGGAGUCGCUGUUGGGAUACCACCCUUGUGAUAUUGGGUUUCUAACCAGCCGCCGUGAACCGGUGGUGGGACAAUGCCAGGCGGGGAGUUUGACUGGGGCGGUCGCCUCCGAAAGGGUAUCGGAGGCGCCCAAAGGUUCCCUCAGAAUGGU